GCCUUCCUCAGGUCCCCUUCCUAGGGGAUUCCUCAUCGCAUCCCCUAGCCGCCCUACCCCACCACGGUCCUUGGGACCCGCGGUGUUCUCUCCUUGAUCCCUUCGGCCCCUAGACUGGGGAAUCCCCGGAACGCGACACCGUGGCUUCUUUUCCUUUAUUCUCUUCCUGCCUUCCGCUCCGCUCAGAGAGCAAGGGGCCAGGAGCGCGGGAAAAUGGCGCCGGAGGCGAGGCGCGAAGAGUUCGCACGCCUGCUGCCGCGUGGGCGCGAGAGGAUCUGGCGGUCGCCUGCAGCGCCGUCGCCCCGCCCCCGCGCGCGAGAAUCGAAGCACGCACGCGUUCUCCUGCGCGUCCGCUCCCGCCGUUGCGACGGACGGGUAGGGGAGGCGACCCCGGCGUUCUGCUCCGCACUGUGGAGGAGGUGGGGAGGUGUUGGGCCAGGGCUGAGGUAGGAGGGAGUCUGUCCCUCGACGCCUCCUGCGACGCCAGCCCCUGAGCCGUGAUGCGAACGUGCGUCCUACUCUCCGCGGUGCUCUGGUGCCUCACAGGAGUCCAAUGCCCGCGUUCUACCUUAUUCAAUAAGAAGGGCUUCCUUUAUGGCAAGAUAGGACAGCCAGACAAAAUAUAUGUAGAGUUACAUCAAAAUAGUCCAGUCCUUAUCUGUAUGGAUUUUAAGCUUUCUAAAAAAGAAAUAGUGGACCCCACCUACUUAUGGAUUGGGCCUAAUGAAAAGACGUUAACAGGAAAUAAUAGAAUAAAUAUAACUGAAACUGGACAGCUGAUGGUGAAAGAUUUUUUGGAGCCUUUGUCUGGACUUUACACAUGUACUCUUUCUUAUAAGACUGUUAAAGCAGAAACUCAAGAAGAAAAAACAGUCAAAAAGAGAUAUGACUUUAUGGUCUUUGCCUAUCGGGAACCUGAUUAUUCAUAUCAGAUGGCUGUACGUUUUACCACAAAGUCUUGUAUAGGGAGAUACAAUGAUGUAUUCUUUAGAGUGCUGAAGAAAAUCUUGGAUAGUCUAAUUUCUGAUUUGUCAUGCCAUGUCAUAGAGCCAUCAUAUAAAUGCCAUUCUGUUGAAAUUCCAGAACAUGGCCUCAUACAUGAGCUAUUUAUAGCAUUUCAAGUUAAUCCUUUUGCGCCGGGGUGGAAAGGUGCUUGCAAUGGAUCUGUUGACUGUGAAGAUACCACUAAUCAUAAUAUCCUCCAGGUGAGAAUUUCAUGGCAAGAGAUCGAAUAGAAGACUUUUUUCGGAGCCAAGCAUAUAUUUUCUACCAUAACUUUAAUAAAACUCUACCAGCAAUGCAUUUUGUGGACCACAGUUUGCAAGUAGUACGUCUGGAUAGCUGUCGACCAGGCUUUGGAAAAAAUGAACGUCUACACAGUAAUUGCGCUAGCUGUUGUGUGGUUUGUAGUCCUGCGACUUUUAGUCCUGAUGUUAAUGUAAUUUGUCAGACCUGCUUUUCCGUCCUUACCUAUGGAGCUAAAUCUUGCCCACAAACUUCAAACAAAAAUCAGCAAUAUGAAGAUUAGAGGUGAAAGCAUUGUUACUUACUUGUGGAAGUCGGGGACAUAAGAUGAUUUUCACAUCCCAGAGCAUCAUAGAUAGUUCCAUUAAGUAAAAUCAGUAAGACCAAACCACUGGAAAACAUGCAUUUUGGAAACUUUAAAAUAAAUGGUUAACAUGGCAUUUCUAAGAAGGCAUUUAAUCCAGUAUCUCUAGUGUACAAAGGAAACUUGAAGUUUUAAUGGAUUAUUUUUAAUGAAAUGUUUUAUUGUUUACAAACGGUAUGUUGCUGUGUACCUAAGAGUAUAGUAAGGUCAAGAAGAGUAUCAAAGUAUAAUAAAAUAAAAAUUGUAUACUCUCCAUAUAUUUAUUUGUUUGGAAUCACUCUUGUAUGAUAUAAAGGCGUGUAUAUUAUCUUUGUAUUAGAACCAAAAAAGUUAUUUAUUUUGGUCCCUAUGAUUUUAUUUUUUAAGAUAAAUUAAUAUACUGUAUUUUUUAAAGUAUAGGUUUAGGUUUACAGAAUAAUAGAGCAGAUAAUAUAUAGAGUUCCAUACACCCACCGCACCCCAUACCCUCAUUCCUCCUUACACAAUUUCUCCUAUUAUUAAGAUGGUGCAUUAGUGUGGCACAUUUGUUACAAAUGAUGAACCAAUAUUAAUUUAUUAUUAAUUAUAGCCCAUAGUUCACAUUAAGAUUCAUUGUGUUGUAAGGUUAUGUGGGUUUUGACAAAUUCAUAAUGGCAUGUGUGCACCAUUGCAGUCUCAUACAGAAUAGUUUCACCACCCUCAAAAUCCUCUGUGCUUCACUUAUUUAUCCCUCCCCCCGUGCCCUGGCAACCACUGAUCUUUUUACUGUCUCUACAGUUUUGCCUUUUCCAAAAUGUCAUGUAGUUGGUUGGAGUUAUGCAGUAUGUAGACUUUUUAGAUUGGCUUCUUUCACUUAGCAAUAUGCAUUUAAGGUUCCUCCAUGUCUUUUUGUGACUUGAUAGCUCAUUUUUUAUUGCUGAAUAAUGUUCAUUGUAUGGAUAUAGCAUAGUGUGUUUAUCCAUUCGCCCAUUAAAGGAAAUCUUGAUUGCUUCCAGUUUUUGGUGAUUAAAAAUAAAGCCGCUAUAAACAUU